ensembl:ribozyme RNase_MRP RNase MRP
GCGCAUGCCUGAAAACUUGUAAUCUAAGCUACAAACUGAGAACUGAGAUUCUCCCGCGUGCUUAGGGGAAAGUCCCCGGACGCUGCGCAGAGAUGCCGCGCUUGAAACGCAGCCCAUGCGCCCGUCGUCGCGCGACACUGCCGAGACGUCAUUGCGACCGAGCAGCGCGCGACGGGCCAUGUUUGUCCUCGCGAUAGAUAUGCAGGUGUUGUACUUGUGCACUCCAACUUAACGGGGCUCAAUCUCAGGAUGCG